rnacentral:miRNA from 1 species
UAUGGGAGUUUAUGACUUAGG